UGAAAAAAGUUAAAAAUAGUACAAGAAAUUUUCCAUAAUUCCUGGCCAGAAAUAAGUUAUUAGUACAAACAAAAAUGUAUCAAAAGUGUGAUAAUCGUGUUGCGGAAGCUGAGAAGCGGAAGCAGAUUGGCACAGUGGCCGAGGGUCCCACGUAGUAUUUCUCCACGUUCAUCGACGUUUGGAAACAAAGAAACCAGUCCCCCAGUGGAAAAAUCAGGCGAAUUAGUCAUCGAUUUUGCUCGUCAGCGUCGAGGAGUUUCACAAUGUGAAAAAGGCAGUUUUGCAGUCUCUCGAGGUUGGCUAGGCAGAUCCAGGAUGUCCAGGACCACGACAAUCUCCCCCCUAAGUCGCAUGGCGAUGGCCCUGACCUACGGUGUUCGAGGAUUUGAAGUGUUGGGAUAGGAAGGAAGCCAGGUAGGAAAUGUAACAAAUAUAGGUAGGAGGUGGAGCAAUGACGUCCAACUAAGCGCCUCUAUAAAAACUGGAAAAAUUAUGGAUAUGAAAUUAUUAUAAUAAUAAGCACUUACACACAUCAUACGUUAUGCAAGUAUUGAUCUCCUUUUAACGACAUUUUCGAAUGUAUUGGUAUAUGUACUUCUAUUCCCGUCCCAAACCCUCCCCUCGCUCCCCAUCGACUUGAAUUGACGGAUUUUUUACCACGUACUUUUACAAACAAACGUACGGAAACUCUCGUAUGCUAAACAAAUUGAAAAUCUAAUGAAAUAUAUUAUUAUACCAGCUAUAUUACAUCAGCUAAACUGCAGUUUUGAUGCAAACUCAUCUGGGUAAUUACGAAAGUAUAACUAUGUAUUCAAUAUUUUUAUCUUAUGGCGAAUUUUUUAAUGAAGAGUUCAACAUUCUAUUCGUAUUUGGACAAACCCCUAGAUUUGUAAAAAAAAAAGUUUUCCCGCUUUGAUGGAAUGGCUUAAACCCCGAAAUGUUUCCACAAUUUUCUUUAUUCUAUGGAAACCCAACUGUAUUUUCAAAAGUGUGCCUAUCUUCUAUUGCACGGCUGUUUAAUCUACUGGUUAAGAAUAUGUACAUGGUGUAUGUACAACAUGUAAUGUUGUUGUUGUAUCUUAGUAGUUUUCUAAAUGUGUGCUUUUGGUUUGGGAAAAAUCUGUUUAUCUGUAAAAUUAAUCCAAACCUAUACGUACUUUACUUCGAGGAAUACACAAUAAAACAAACAAUCAUAUUGAUAUUAAGAAUGCCGAAAUAGGACACCAAAUCAAUCAAUAUUUGUAAGGAAUCUACUACCAAUUACAUUCAUUUAAAAUUUUACAAGGAAUUUGGGUAAAUCUGAUUUAUGAACGAAAGGAAACUAUUUAAAUGAAUUUCAAAACAGUCUGAAUUUCUACAUUAAAACUAAGGCGCUUCAAAUGUAUGUAUGCACCGAUUGGAAAUCACCGGAACACCACAUCAUUAAAAUGACAACAUAUUCACUUAUUACCAAUAAUUUAGUUCAUAUUUCUUCGUUUUCUGAAUUUUUUGCUAUUUCAAUAGCUAUGAAAUGUUACCGCAUGAGAUGUAUGCUCCAAAGUAAACAUUUUAUAUGAUUCUGUUCCAGUAUCAUUUUUGUGCGAUUAUUCAAAUUGGUUGUUGCUAAUUUAAUUGAAACAAUUUGGAAUAUUUGUUAAAACACAACAGAAAAAAUGUCUAUGUCAUCAUCCUUCGGUUAUCUGGAAUUUUUGCAUUAGUUAUAUAAUUUAUUGAGUCAACUUUCUUAAUUCAUCCGUCUACAAAAUAUUUUCCCCGGUGAAUUGGUAUAAACUAAAGUAAAAAUAAUAGAUUUAUCAAUCAGCUCCUUCCAUCUGUAAAUCAAAUAAUUUAUAUUACCCUUUGGAAAAAUAAAGGAAUUAUUUGAAACAGUAAACAAAUAUAAGCAGCGCUUAUGUAAAAACAUUAAAUAUAUAACAUAAACUAAAGUAACAAAUACAGCUUGAGCUAAUAUUGCUUAUUUGAGAAUACCAAAUUAUUUAAAUUGGACGUAUAAGAUUAUGCAAACCAAAAAAUAUUUAUCUACGAAAAGUAUAUUCCUUCGAAUACCCAACAUUCCAAACAAUACAAUUUAUUUAUUCCCCUAAUAAGAAUUGUUUUUGUUUUAACAAAAAAUGCCUUAAUUAUAGUUACACCUAACAAUUGGAAAACAUAAGCCUAAUAUUAUACUUCUUUCUAAUCAUUUUCUCAACUGGAUUAUUCGUUUGAUUCUUUUCUGUAACUAUUGGACACUGUGUCCCAUCGAGGAAACGACGCAUUAUAUUAAAAAGACCCAUUGUUUUUAUGUUCUUUUUAAAAUGUAUACGAUUCAAUCACUAUGAAUGUAUGAGGAUUGCGUGAAGAAUGUUAUUCCUAAAGUUCCCGAAAUGUCCAGGAUCAUAUCCUGGAAAAACUUUGCACUAAACUUUAUUUCCUAUUAAAAUUAAAACCCACAUCGAUGUUCUCCCAAAAUAAUGUGACGUUAUGGAUCGAAUGAAAAUAUUACUUCAGCAUAAGUAAGAAAUAUAUUAUUGUAUGCUUUUGAUAUGCGAGAACUGAUUUAAUUUCCACGUUGAAAAUGUAUUGACUGAUAUUUGGAAAGGUGUUGCACGAGACUUUUAAUUUGAAUCAUUAAGCGUGUUUUUGCUAUGACAGUGGAUUUUUAUUUUGUGAGUGACAUUUUGAAAUACAUUUUUUUAAUAUUACAGAGUAAUUAGUAAAUUUUUCAUAAUCAAUACGAAGCAAAUCCUUUUAAUUAUGGAUAAUUUGGAUGUAUAAUAAAAUGAAACAUUAUAAAUCAAGUCACAUUUAAUACACAUUUUGCAUGUUCUGUUCAAAAAACAAUGCUUUCCAAAAAAAAAAGUGAACUUCUAUACCUGGAAGUAUAUUUUAAGGAAGCAAAACCUGGAUGGAAUAUUUUAGACAAAAUGAUGGACAUUGUCUCAUUGGCUAAAAUCCAUGUGGAAAGCGUAAUUUACAUUUACGUAAAGAUACGUAAUUUGGUAAUUAACCCAUAUAGUUACUAUUUUAAUAAUGGAUGGUAUAAAUAAAUGGUAUAGGUGGGAAAUUAACUUAAAUUCAUGAUUUUAAUAAGUAAAGGUAAAUUAUUGACCGAUUUUAUAAUUUGUUGGUUUAAUAGAGUCAAAUGACCAAAAAGGUCAGUUGACUAUUUUGAUUGGUCAAAACCCAUCUGCGGAAUUUAUGUUCAAUAAAACCGUGGACUGAAAUUAAAACUUUCCAGCUUUACGUCCCUCUCUACAUUAAUAUUAUCAUGGAAAAGCAUCAGUUUUUUCGGGUGAGGUUAUACUGAUGCUUAGUCAUUUCAAUUGCCCAAAAUAAUUGAAUUUUAAUUGGUAUUUUUCAAUACCCAAGACUAAC
rnacentral:sRNA from 1 species